rnacentral:rRNA from 1 species
UACAGAGGUGGCAAGCGUUGCUCGGUAUCACUGGGCUUAAAGGGCGCGUAGGCGGCGUGGUACGGUUUGGGUGAAAUCCCUCGGCUUAACCGAGGAACUGCCCAGGCUACGGCCACGCUUGAUGACGUCAGGGGAAGAUGGAACUCCCGGUGGAGCGGUGAAAUGUGUAGAUAUCGGGAGGAACGCCGGUGGCGAAAGCG